GCAUAUCAAUAAGCGGAGGAAAAGAAACCAACAGGGAUUGCCCUAGUAACGGCGAGUGAAGCGGCAACAGCUCAAAUUUGAAAUUUGGCUCUUUCAGGGUCCGAGUUGUAAUUUGCAGAGGGCGCUUUGGCUUUGGCAGCGGUCCAAGUUCCUUGGAACAGGACGUCACAGAGGGUGAGAAUCCCGUACGUGGUCGCUGGCUAUUGCCGUGUAAAGCCCCUUCGACGAGACGAGUUGUUUGGGAAUGCAGCUCUAAAUGGGAGGUAAAUUUCUUCUAAAGCUAAAUACUGGCCAGAGACCGAUAGCACACAAGUAGAGUGAUCGAAAGAUGAAAAGCACUUUGGAAAGAGAGUCAAACAGUACGUGAAAUUGUUGAAAGGGAAGCGCUUGCAGCCAGACUUGCUUGCAGUUGCUCAUCCGGGCUUUUGCCCGGUGCACUCUUCUGCAGGCAGGCCAGCAUCAGUUUGGGCGGUGGGAUAAAGGUCUCUGUCACGUACCUCUCUUCGGGGAGGCCUUAUAGGGGAGACGACAUACCACCAGCCUGGACUGAGGUCCGCGCAUUCGCUAGGAUGCUGGCGUAAUGGCUGUAAGCGGCCCGUCUUGAAACACGGACC
rnacentral:rRNA from 1 species